rnacentral:rRNA from 1 species
UGGGGAAUAUUGCACAAUGGGCGAAAGCCUGAUGCAGCAACGCCGCGUGAGUGAUGAAGGCCUUCGGGUUGUAAAGCUCUGUCUUUGGGGACGAUAAUGACGGUACCCAAGGAGGAAGCCACGGCUAACUACGUGCCAGCAGCCGCGGUAAUACGUAGGUGGCAAGCGUUGUCCGGAUUUACUGGGCGUAAAGGAUGCGUAGGCGGAUUUUUAAGUCAGAUGUGAAAUACCCGAGCUCAACUUGGGUGCUGCAUUUGAAACUGGAUAUCUAGAGUGCGGGAGAGGAGAGUGGAAUUCCUAGUGUAGCGGUGAAAUGCGUAGAGAUUAGGAAGAACACCAGUGGCGAAGGCGACUCUCUGGACCGUAACUGACGCUGAGGCAUGAAAGCGUGGGUAGCAAACA